rnacentral:rRNA from 1 species
UCGGAUUGUAGUCUGCAACCCGACUACAUGAAGCUGGAAUCGCUAGUAAUCGCGAAUCAGAAUGUCGCGGUGAAUACGUUCCCGGGUCUUGUACACACCGCCCGUCACACCAUGGGAGUCGGGAAUGCCCGAAGUCAGUGACCCAACCGGAAGGAGGGAGCUGCCGAAGGCAGGCUCGAUAACUGGGGUGAAGUCGUAACAAGGUAGC